rnacentral:rRNA from 1 species
CUCUUAGAUGUUCUGGGCCGCACGCGUGCUACACUGAGUGGAUCAGCGGGUCAGGUUGCGCGAAAGCGUUUCCUGAUCUUUAAAUCCGCUCGUGAUGGGGAUUGACGGUUGCAAUUUUCUGUCAUGAACGAGGAAUACCUUGUAAGCGCGGGUCAUCAUCCCGCGCUGAAUACGUCCCUGCCCUUUGUACACACCGCCCGUCGCUCCUACCGAUUGAGUGGUCCGGUGAGGCUUUGGGAUCUGAGCGGAAAGAGCGUUUCGCUGUUUCUGCUCGGAAAACUCAGUCGAACCUUAUCAUUUAGAGGAAGGAGAAGUCGUAACA